AAGUUAUAAAUAUUCUAAUAAAUGCGGUCACUUUCGUAAUUUUCACCUCGUUUCAAGAAUCGUAAUAAGCCUCCUAUACCAAACGGACGU